rnacentral:lncRNA from 1 species
CCCUGCUGUGGCUCAGGGGUAAUGAAGCCAACUAUAUCCAUCAAGACACGUAUUCAUGGAGUUCCCAUCGUGUCUCAGUGGUUAACGAAUCCGAAUAGGAACGACGGGGUUGUGGGUUUGAUCCCUGGCCUUUCUCAGUGGGUUAAGGAUCAGGCAUUGCCGUGAGCUGUGGUGUAGGGCCCCAAAAGGGCUCGGAUCUGCGUUGCUGUGGCUCUGGUGUAGGGUGGCCACUGCAGCUCCAAUUCAACCCCUAGCCUGGAAAUUUCCACAUGCUGAGGUUUGGGCCCUAAAAAGACAAAAAAAUAUGUCUAAGAUAGUAUUUUGUGUUAUAUAUAUUUUUACCACACACACACACACACGAAAAAACCCAGGGAUAUAUAUAAUAUAGAAAAAAUAAACAACAGCUAAAAAAGUCCCACAUAUUUCCAAAAUGCUCCAUGUGGACCUGCCCAAUUAAGCAUCAUUACAAAUUUGCUUCUUAAACUAGAGGCCCAAACACUAUACUUUUUUUUUUUUUUUUUUUUUUUUUCCUUUUCUAGGGCUGCUCCCGCAGCAUAUGGAGGUUCCCAGGCUAGGGGUCAAAUCAGAGCUGUAGCUGCCGGCCUACACCACAGCCAUGGCAACGCAGGAUCUGAGUGGCAUCUGCAACCUACACCACAGCUUAGGGCAACACCAGAUCCUUAACCCACUGAGCAAGGCCAGGGAUCGAACCUGCAACCUCAUGGUUCCUAGUCUCUAGGUCCCGAAACCUCCAUGGUUCCAUGAUUUGUUAAGCACUGAGCCACGACGGCAACUCCCCAAACACUAUACUUUGAAUUCGAAGAGAUAGAAGUGUGAAUAUUGAUGCAAAAUUGGUUUUCUCCAUUGAUUGCUGGAGAUUGACUGAAGUGCUGUGUUGAGCAGGCAUCUAACUUGGCCUUGAAAUCAGCAGGGAAGAACAUCACCAUCUGUCAACAAUGGCAUUUUGGGAGUUUCUGUUGUGGCUCAGCAGGUUAAGAACCUGACUAGUAUCCAUGAGGAUGCAGGUUCUAUCCCUGGCCUUAUUCAGUGGGUUAAGGGUCGGGUGUUGCCGGGAGCUGGGGUGUAGGUCGAAGACACGGCUCGAAUCUGGCGUUGCUGUGGCUGUGGCAUGGGCUGGCAACUGCAGCUCUGAUUCAACUCCUAGCUUAGGAACUUCCAUAUGUGGCUGGCGUGUCCCUAAAAAGGGAAAAAAGAAAAAAAAAAAGAGCUUUGAUGGGGAAGAGAAUGAGCAAGGGUUGUUGACAGGUCACAUGUGUACAGGCUCAGAAAUGUAAACCCUCUUUAUUCCGAGCAUCUUUCACCUUUGACGGAAGCCUAAAAUCAAAAUAGCAUUUUGGCAGGAAAAGUGCAAUUGACAUAUCAAGCUCCAUUUUCCCCCAUUUUGCAAAACAUUUCAGAAUUUAGAGCAAAAAGGAAAAUAUUGGGUUCAAAUAUUCAAAACAGUGCGUAUUUCACUCAACAAGAGAAACUCAUCAAGAUAUAAGAGAAAAACGGAGUUCCUGUCGUGGCUCAGUGGUUAAGGAACCCGACUAGCAUCCAUGAGUACUCGGGUUUGAUCCCUGGUCUCAAUCUCAGGUUAAGGACCAGCGUUGUUGUGGCUGUGGUUUAGGCUGGCGGCUACAGUUCCGAUUUGACCCCAGCCUGGGAACCUCCAUAUGCUUUGGGUGAGGCCCUAAAAAAGACAAAAAAAAAAAAAAGGAACAGAGAGAGGAACAGGGGAAAAAGUUAGGAUAGCUUAGUAUAUAAAGCAAGGUUUGGGAAGCUGUCUGGAGGAGUUUAUCAUCCAGGCAGCUCCAAAUUCAAAGAUCGAGUAAAAUUCUUACAUUUAUUGACUUUGAUCUCAUUUCCCUUCCAUAGUCUGCCCUCUGGUGAUGUUAAUAUGCAAUAAACUCACCCAAGAUUGAUCUAGGAGUCAAAGUUUACCCCUAGACCUUCUGAUAUGGAGGAAAAAGUCUGUGGCUGCUUGCUGAUACUGGAGAUGCUGGUGAUGGCGUGAAUGGCUAAUCCACAGGGAGCAUUUUCUCUAUACCUGCCACUGUUGCAAAUGCGUUACAUACAUUCAUUCAUUUAAUUCUCCCAACAAUCUACGGGGCAGGUACUAUUUUUUAAUUCAUUUUGCUUUUUUUUUAGGGCCGCAUCUGAGGCAUAUGGAAGUUCCCAGGAUAGGGGUCAAAUUGGAGCUGUGGCCACUGGCCUAUGCCAUAGCCACAGCAACCCAGGAUUUGAGCCACAUCUGCAACCUACACCACAGCUCACAGCAACACUGGAUCCUUAACCCACUGAGAAAAGCCAGGGAUCGAACCCGCAUCCGCAUGGAUCCUAGUCGGGUUUGUUAAUGGCUGAGCCAUGAAGGGAACUCCAGCAGCUACUUUUUAGAUCCCUACUUACGCAUGAGGAAACCGAAGCAUUGAGAGGUUAUAUCACUUGCAGAAAUGACACAACUAGCAAGCAGAAAGAAACUAAGAGGCCCCUAAAACCCUGCUCUAAAGGUUUGAAUAAAUAAAAUUUCACAAUAGUUUGUUCCUAAUUAAAGUUUCAUUGAGAUUCUCUCUCAGGGGGGUUCCUACUGUGGCUCAACAGUAAUGAAUCUGGCUACUAUCCCUGAGGAAGUAGUUUCCAUCCUUGGCCUCACUCAGUGAGUUAAGGAUCCAGCAUUGCCAUAAGCUGUGGUGUAGGUCCCAGGCAGUACUCAGAUCCCAAGUUGCUGUGGCUGUGGUGUAGGCCAGCAGCUGCAGCUCCAAUUCAACCCCUAGUCUGGGAACUUCCAUAUGCCACAGGUGCAGCCCUAAAAAGCAAAACAUAAAAAUAAAAAAUCUCUCUCAGGGAGUUCCCUGAUGCUCAAGUGGUUAGUGCUUUCAGCACUGGGGCCCAGGGUCAAUUCCUGGUCCAAGAACUAAGAUCUCACAUGGAGAUGCUGGGGACCAUGGUUUAAAAAGAGAGAGAUCAAGAGAAGAUUCUUUCUCAAAGGAAAAGUAUAAGCAAGGCCGUGGGUCAUUACACAUGUGUGUGAAGUACCUUAAUCAAAUGUAUUAAAUCAAGCCUAUACCAGGAGUUCCCGUCGUGGAACAGUGGAAGCAAAUCCGACUAGGAAUCAUGAGGUUGCGGGUUCAAUCCCCGGCCUCGCUCAGUGAGUUAAGGAUCUGGCGGUGCCAUGAACUGUGGUGUAGCUCACAGAUUCGGCUCAAAUCUGGAGUUGCUGUGGCUGUGUGUAGCUCACAGAUUCGGCUCAGAUCUGGAGUUGCUGUGGCUGUGGUCAGCAGCUGUAGCUCCAAUUAGACCCCUAACCUGGGCAUCUCCAUAUGCCUCGGGUGCAGCCCUAAAAAGCAAAAAACAAAACAAAAAAACAUAUACCAAAUACUUGAGUUUUUAUAGGUAAGAAGGGGGGUGGGGGCGGUGAUGGCAUUGAAGGAAAAGCCCCUGAAGCGAGGAGGAUUGGCUAUAGUUGGAGGAGCUUGACAAGGCCACCAAGAAGGCAGAUGUACUUGAAUCUGGGACAGGUUCUGAAGGUGGGAAGAUUCCAAGCAUGAGGCUUAUUUUCCCUGUGAAUUUUCCCAGAGACUGUAUUGGCAUGUUUGACCUUGGUUUGUUUGUCUUGUUUUUUUCUAGGUCUACCUUGGAUUCCCUCCUUAUAAAGCUGGUGUAGGGCUUCCCAGAGAUCAUGGGAUUUCCGUUGUCACUGGAAAUCAUUACCGUGAUUGUUUAAAUUGCCUAAUUAUUCUAGCAGUCUCCCCAGUAAUCAAAACGUGGUCUCGGAAAGGCUUAGAAAGCUUUAUGUAUUCACCUGUUAUGUUUUUGUUUGUUUGUUUUGUCUUUUUUGCCAUUUCUAGGGCUGCUCCCGCAGCAUAUGGAGGUCCCCAGGCUAGAGGUCUAAUCGGAGCUGUAGCCCCCGGCCUACGCCAGAGCCACAGCAACUCGGGAUCCAAGCUGCUUCUGUAACCUACACCACGGCUCACGGCAACCAGGUCCUUAACCCACUGAACAAGGCCAGGGAUUGAACCCACAACCUCAUGGUUCCUAGUUUGGAUUCUUUUACCACUGCGCCACGACGGGAACUCCUCACCUAUUAUGUUUUCACAAAAGGGAUAGGGAGCAGAUUUGUGGGGUUGGGAGGAUAGAGAGGAUGACUCCGGUAAAGAAGCCCUGGGGUCCGGGGUGGGGGAAUUGAUUUUAUUUAGUAUCAGGAUUUGGCUUAGUGUAGAUGCCCAGUGAACGUUUGCUGAUAAAUAACCAAAGGGAUGAAUGCAUGAAAUUUACCAGGGACGUCUCUGAAGUAGGAAGUCUGAUUUGACCCUGGUGACGUCACUGUCACUCUUUUUCAGUUCCCAUGGAUAACUCAUCUGUAGUUAUCUUUUUUUUUUUUUGCCAUUUCUUAGGCCACUCCCGCGGCAUAUGGAGGUUCCCAGGCUAGGGGUUGAAUCGGAGCUGUAGCCGCCGGCCAACGCCACAGCCACAGCAACGUGGGAUCCGAGCUGCAUCUGUAACCUACACCACAGCUCACAGCAAUGCCGGAUCCUUAACCCACUGAGCAUGGCCAGGGAUCGAACCCGCAACCUCAUGGUUCCUAGUCGGAUUCGUUAACCACUGCACCACGAUGGGAAUUCCCUGUAGUCAGCUUUUGCAUGGAUUCUUGCCCCCAGCUCCUGAAACCAUUGCAUCUCUGAGCGGAGUGGCAGUACUAAGGGGUGUGGAUGACACCUCUAUUAAAAAACAGCACAUGCUUUUGCUUUGAUAUGGUUGUUGGAAUUAGGCCCAUGGAUAGCAUCUGAAAGUAAGUGCUGGAGUUCCCACGGUUCAGCAGGUUAAAGACCUCACCUUGGUUGUCUCUGUGAGGAUGCAGGUUCAACCCCUGGCCUCACUCAGGGGGUUAAGGAUCUAGGGUCACUGCAUAGGUCUCAGAUGAGGCUCAGAUCUAGUGUUGCCAUGGCUGUGGCAUAGGUCAGAGCAGCAACUCCAAUUCCACCCCUGGUUUGGCUCAGGUGCGGCAGUAAAA